ensembl:lncRNA
CUAACUUGAAGAGAUGAACUUGCACAGUUAGGACGCAGCAGAAAGCCAUCUUCAAGGAUAAGGCUGUACGCCCACAAGAUGCAGUAAAGAACACCGUUAAUAAAAAAGUAGCUCAGCCUGAGGAGUUAAGAGAUACUGAAAUUAUUGAAAACAAUUCUUGAAAAAGUACUUUUGCAACCAAAGUACAGCAACCAGCAAGACUCAAAUAGCAAGUUACAGAGCAACACAGUGGCAACUACAGCUGGAUAAGGGGCUUGGAAACGCUCAUCCCAGCUAGCACUCCUCAGUGAAUCACAAGGAACACUGACAGCAUUCUGACCUUCCUGGGAAUUAAAUCAGAGCCCGGUACCCCUCCUGGUAAGGCAGAACCACAUGAAAUAUUUACUGACCAGGUGUAAACUGUAUUAUUUUAAGCGUCUAAUAUUUGGCCGACUCGGGGUCUGAGCAACUGCUUUAAGUUUGCUGUUGCACGGUAUGCCUCAAAUAUAAUGUCAUCACUCACAUUUUAACUUAAUCUUGUCUGAGUUCUUAAUGCCAUUUAAUCACGCCAUUAUGCUUUGCCAGUUAGGUUCACACUGCAAUCUGAAGGAUACCCACACAAAUGAAUAGUGGGAGAAAGAGAAGGAAAGGGCUUCAUCACUGCCCUGAGACAAGGAGUCACUAUUCAGCCAGUCAAAGAAACGCCUAUCUUCAGGGAGCCCUGGCCCUCCUCCUCUCUUCCCUUCGCAGGAAGGAAGGCAUAAGCUGAGGACAGAAAGGUGCUGAAGUGCCUGGGAAAUGCGCCCAGCACUGAGGCUCUCAAAUAACCCUUUUGCUCAAGGGUUGAUCAUCGUGACAAGAAGGCAGCUGGACAGAGAAAAAAAACGAUGGUUUGAACCUCGCAGAAAUGUAUCAAGUCAUUUUCUUCACCUUUUCCUGUUUUUGCUUUUUCUGAUAGAAAGUUUUAACUGUAUUCUUUUUUACUUUAUAGAAUUUUCUAAGUAAAUGCUGUUCACUUUUUUUCUUAGCCUGGUGUAUAUGAUACUGUGGUUUUGCAGCACCUGGAAAGUAACAGGGAACCUCUUAGUAAGUAAAGGGCACAGCAACACCACAGAAAAAGGCUAAGGGAGAGGGCUGGUGCCAUUGUGAGGCUGCAGCCAGAGAGACUCCUGAGGCCUGGGAGGAAACAAACAUCCCUCCUGGUUUUGGUAAGAGCAGGAAGGGAGCCUCCAGGGAACUGGGGAAAGGGCCUUGGGAAAGAGAUGAAACACAGUCAGAACAAACAAGAUGGUGACCGGGAAUAGUUGGCACACCUAUAUGGAGGGAUGAUGUGUAAGGCCUUAACUGGCCUGGUGUGACAGCCCUCUGUGACGACGUGACCAGCCCAGGGGACACGGGGCAAGCAGUGGAUACUUCCUAACAUGACUUGACAGUUUUGAUGUUAUCUGACAUAAUACCCUCAUUGACAAGCCAAAGCACAGGCUGGGUAAGCAGACAGUGACUGAAGCCCAGAAGGUUGUGAUCAGUGGCAUAGACACUACUUGGAGCCCAGUAAUGAGCAGUAUAUGCAAGCACUGGGGCCAGUCAUGUUCAAAAUCUUUAUUAAUGACCUAGAUGAUGGGACAGGCAUCAAAAACACCGGAGGGUCAUCCCAAGAUGACCUUGACAGCCUAGGAAAAUGGCUGACAUGAACCUCUUGAUAUUCAACGGGGAAUUGCCAAGUGCAGUGACAAUCCAGUAGCAGCCAGUGAUGAAGGAACUGGAAGCCCCUUCAUAUGAGGACAGAUUGAGACAGCUGGGGAGAGGGCUGGGGGCGAUUCUAUCAAUAUUUUUAAACACUUGAUAAGGGUAUAAAGACCAUGGAGCCUUCCCAUUUGUGCCCAGUGAAGGGACAAGAGACAAGUUUAGCAUUAGGAUGAUGGCUCGACUUGAUCUUAAGGGUCUUUUCCGACAUAAGUGAUCCUAGGAACACCAGAAGCACUUCCGUGCCGUGCAGGUGACAGAGCACUAAAACAGGCUGCUCAGAGGCUGUGGAGUCUCCUGCUUGGAAAUAUUCCAGAGCCAUCUGGGUACCCUGCUCUACAUCACAUCUUGAUUUGAUUAUACCAUCUUCUUGGCACCUGUCCAACGUUGGAUAUUCUGUAAUUACAUGAAGACUGAGCGCCAGCUUCAGUCACAGAGGUGAGGGAGGAGUUACAACCACAGAGCUCAGCAGCAAAGAAAUCACUUCCAGCAGCAGCAGUAACUACCAGCUCUCCAGCACAGUACUUGGGUGACUCAAACACCAGGGAGCAGAGCUCCAACUCCUCAUCUGAAAGAUGUAUAAGGAGAAAAUUUUUCUUUGGAAAAAUCCUUUAUAAAGCAGCACUAUCUAAAUGAAAGAUGUAACCUGUAAAAGGUAUAAAACAAUGAGACAGGCAGAUUCCUAUCAUGUUCUUCAUAGACACUAUCUUGGGUAGAAAAUUUGAACUGUAUCUGUCUUUGCAAAGACCACAUAUACAAUUUUGGGGUAUUGUUUAUAAACUAUGGUAUAGUUUAUGAUGUAUUACUGCAAAAACAUUCUUUUUCACAUAUUGCCCUUCCUAUGCUUUUUAGGGAAAGAAAAUAUGUCCAAUGCAGCACUGAAAUUUUACUGAUAACUUUGGACACAUUUAUGGAAAUCAGUAAACAGUUCCAUCCGAUUAGCAAUAACUCCCCUGAAGAUAUUCAAUACGAAGGAUACAUGGAGCCCCUGGGCCAGUCCACUAUUACAGCUUAGUAUACCUUGAUUCUUAGUAUAUCUUGAUUGAUACGUCUCUAUGUAAUGCUGACACAACUAUGGACAUAGAAGGGUACUAAUCUGUAUUUCUCUUGCUUUAUCAGUACAGCUUGCAAAUCUCUGUUAAAUGUCAUCAGUGUUUACAAAGACUUCUACUUUACAAAAAGCUUCUUGAAAUUUCAGAACUGAACCAUCCCAUUUCCAUCUGCCUUUACAACCCACACAGUGUAUCUGAUUCCCCCAGAGAUGCUACCAACACCUGAGGAAGAUGACAGUACAAACCUACAUGUGUGAGAACUGAGCUCUACCCCAGAUUGUACGGAUACCAUGGACAGAGCCUUGCAGACUACAGGACUACUGGCUAACCCUACAGACCAUUCAGAAUCAGAAAUUACAAGGUUGUACAAACUGGAUUCUCCAUGCAAUGUGCCAAAAAACCCAGUAGAUCGGACAUGGCAGCACCGAUGUGGCACUAUGACUUCCCUCCAUGACACUUCAAGUCAAUUAAGAGUAUGUUAACAUAUGACAGGAAUUAGGCAAUGAAUAGGCAUGUAUUCCUUCAGCUAACACUUGCUUUCAAAUAUAAGCAGAAUUACAUCAAAUUGCGGGUGUGAACACAAAGACAGCUUCCAAUUCCAGUAAUCACUAAAUCCCCAUAUUUUACAAUACAUACCUCAUACUAAAGCUUGGUUUAGGAUUCCCUUUUGUAUUCAUAAGGCAGCAGCAGGAUUCUACAGAAGCCCGUCUUCAUCAGCAUUUUAACAUUUUAACAGUAACCUAAAAAAUAGAGAGACAGCAGUGACACAAACUAGACAAAACAGUUGUUUCUCUUCCCACAUACCCACAUGUAUAAUAUGAGGAAAUAAACGUUAAGAAUACUUCACACUACCAGAAAAAUCCAUUUAUUCUGUACCCAUUCUUAUACUUAGUUGUUCCCAGAGAGACUUCUUUGGCUUUAAGUUUUUAAAUCAAAUUUUACUACCUCGCAGUUAAAAACUAGCUGGUUCAAGAACAUAAGUUCCUCAUUUUCAUACUUCAGCUUUGAGUAAAUGCAGUUCUGCUCCGGAGUCCUGUCACCUCUUCGUAUGGUUUUAAAAGACACAUACUCAAACAAAGCACGUUCUUCUGCUAGGCCUGCCAAAUCCAGGCUUCAUCUUUAUCGUAUUGCUACUAAGAUAACUAGGAUCCCCACUCACGACCUAGUGCUAUUAGUGAUUCCUGACAUUGCUACUCUCAGCCUGGUUGUGGUGAGGAUAUAUAAGCAGAAAAGCAGCCUCCUCCAUGUUCCUCAGACUGCCUGGUACUGAUAUUUAACAGGAACAGAGCUAUAUGUGAAAAUUCAGUUGGAGUAAAAUGUCCUGCUUUAACAACUUGGAGCAGGGCUGUGCACAAGUCUCAUGAAAAUGUAUUUCAAUACUAAUUUCGGAAAUAGAUGCAAAAGUUUAAGACUUGUUAUUUCAAAGCUUCUAUUACAGAUUUCCUUGCAGUUGUGCUAAGUGUGGUCACAAGAAGGAGCAAGCCAGAACAUAACUUUGUUCCUAUUAAUUGAUAAUUACAACUUAUUGGAAAUAUAUCAGAAUUGCAUAAGUAAGAA